GAUGAACGCUAGCGGCAGGCCUAACACAUGCAAGUCGAGGGGUAACGGGGUGAGCUUGCUCACCGCCGACGACCGGCGCACGGGUGCGUAACGCGUAUACAAUCUACCUUAUGCUAUUGGAUAGCCCAGAGAAAUUUGGAUUAAUACAAUAUAGUAUCAUAUUACCGCAUGGUAUUUAUGAUUAAAGGUUACGGCAUAAGAUGAGUAUGCGUCCUAUUAGUUAGUUGGUGAGGUAACGGCUCACCAAGACUACGAUAGGUAGGGGCCCUGAGAGGGGGAUCCCCCACACUGGUACUGAGACACGGACCAGACUCCUACGGGAGGCAGCAGUGAGGAAUAUUGGACAAUGGGCGAGAGCCUGAUCCAGCCAUGCCGCGUGCAGGAAGACUGCCCUAUGGGUUGUAAACUGCUUUUAUACGGGAAGAAACACCCCUUCGUGAGGGGGUUUGACGGUACCGUAAGAAUAAGGAUCGGCUAACUCCGUGCCAGCAGCCGCGGUAAUACGGAGGAUCCAAGCGUUAUCCGGAAUCAUUGGGUUUAAAGGGUCCGUAGGCGGGAUGUUAAGUCAGUGGUGAAAGUCUGCAGCUCAACUGUAGAAUUGCCAUUGAUACUGAUGUUCUUGAAUCAAUGUGAAGUGGUUAGAAUAAGUAGUGUAGCGGUGAAAUGCAUAGAUAUUACUUAGAAUACCGAUUGCGAAGGCAGAUCACUAACAUUGUAUUGACGCUGAGGGACGAAAGCGUGGGGAGCGAACAGGAUUAGAUACCCUGGUAGUCCACGCCGUAAACGAUGGAUACUAGCUGUUCGGACUUCGGUCUGAGUGGCUAAGCGAAAGUGAUAAGUAUCCCACCUGGGGAGUACGUUCGCAAGAAUGAAACUCAAAGGAAUUGACGGGGGCCCGCACAAGCGGUGGAGCAUGUGGUUUAAUUCGAUGAUACGCGAGGAACCUUACCAGGGCUUAAAUGCAUAUUGACAGGGGUGGAAACACCUUUUCCUUCGGGCAAUUUGCAAGGUGCUGCAUGGUUGUCGUCAGCUCGUGCCGUGAGGUGUCAGGUUAAGUCCUAUAACGAGCGCAACCCCUGUUGUUAGUUGCCAUCGAGUAAUGUCGGGAACUCUAACAAGACUGCCGGUGCAAACCGUGAGGAAGGUGGGGAUGACGUCAAAUCAUCACGGCCCUUACGUCCUGGGCCACACACGUGCUACAAUGGUAGGGACAGAGAGCAGCCACUGGGUGACCAGGAGCGAAUCUAUAAACCCUAUCUCAGUUCGGAUUGGAGUCUGCAACUCGACUCCAUGAAGCUGGAAUCGCUAGUAAUCGGAUAUCAGCCAUGAUCCGGUGAAUACGUUCCCGGGCCUUGUACACACCGCCCGUCAAGCCAUGGAAGCUGGGGGUACCUGAAGUCGGUGACCGCAAGGAGCUGCCUAGGGUAAAACUGGUAACUGGGGCU
rnacentral:rRNA from 1 species